AAAUACAAGGAAAAAGACUGAAUUUCUUGCUACUCAAAUACUUGGAGUUUCUAAGAAUCAAAAUUGUUCGAGUUAAUGGAAAUAUGACCACAACUGCAUUCACAGUCUUGUGAAAUUUGGGAUUCACAGCUUAAAAGUGAAUAGAAAACUACUAUCUAUUUUGUCAAUGAGUUAUGGAAAGAAAAUCAUGAUUUUAUUACAAUGGAGGAAUACCUCGGACUGUAUUUGAGAAUUAUUCUUCUAACUAUCCGGCUGCCUGAAUUAUCCACUUUUCUCUCUUUUGUUGUUGGUGUUUGUUAAUAGAUCAUUCCACCUAUGAAUCAGGCUUUCCCAGAAUUCUUUGGGUACCGGGGACAUGCUAUUUUGGCGAUGGCUACUUUGACAUCCUUGUUCCUCAGAGUGUAGAUGAGAGGGUUGAGGACAGGUGUGAGAAUAGCAUACACCACAUUGCCCAUGAUAUGGAAGUCGAGGGGCAGGUCAGCUCUAUAGGCCACAUAGGCUAUGGCAAUGGAUGAGUAGUAGGUGCCAACCACCAGGAGGUGGGAGCUGCAGGUGGAGAAGGCUUUUGAGCGUCCUUCUCGGGAGCUGAUGCGAAGCACCGAGGCCAGGAUGUGGGCAUAGGAGAGAAGCACCAGGAGAAGGGGCAGGAAGGACACCACCAUGGCGAUGCAGAAUCCCAUGAAGGUCUGGGGCGUGGUGUCAGAGCAGGAGGCCUGGACCACAGCUAAGUGGUCACAGAAGCAGUGGUAGACCUGGGCCACAGGACUAAAAGCCAUGUGGGAGGUCUGCACCACUGCCGGGAUGGGCAGGAGGAGGGCAGUGAGCCAGGCACCGGCUGCCAGGGCAGCGUUGGUCUGUGGGGCCAUGAGGACAGGGUAGUGCAGUGGGCGGCAGAUAGCUACAUAGCAGUCAUAGGCCAUGACCACCAGGAUGAAGGCUUCAGAGCAGGAGAAGCUGUGGAAGAGGUACAUCUGCAGGAAGCAGGCAGGGAAGCUGAGGAGGCGGUCCCCAAGCAAGAGUAGGGACAGCAUCUUGGGGACAGUGGACGUGGUGAAAAUGAUGUCCAAGGCCUAGAGGUUGAUCAGGAAGAAGUACAUGGGCUUGUGGAGGCUGGGCUCUGCCACCACGGCCACCAGGAUCAGCGUGUUCCCCACCAGGAUGAACAGGUAGAAGAACAGGAAGAUGAAGAAGACAGGGAGGAAGAGGGACUCCUGCAGGGAGGGGAUGCCCACCAGGUAGAAGAUGGGUGAAGAAUCUUCUGAUCCAUCACAGGCUGUGGUGUUCAUGGUGUGACAGAGCGGCAUGCCAGGAUGACAUACAGCCAGAGCAUCUGGAAACCAGAAAAACCAG
rnacentral:lncRNA from 1 species